GACGAACGCUGGCGGCGUGCUUAACACAUGCAAGUCGAGCGAUGAAAUCCCUUCGGGGAUGGAUUAGCGGCGGACGGGUGAGUAACACGUGGGCAACCUGCCUUAUAGAGAGGAAUAGCCAUCCGAAAGGAUGAUUAAUACCUCAUAAUAUUGUAGCUUCGCAUGAAGCAACAAUCAAAGGAGCAAUCCACUAUAAGAUGGGCCCGCGGCGCAUUAGCUAGUUGGUGAGGUAACGGCUCACCAAGGCGACGAUGCGUAGCCGACCUGAGAGGGUGAUCGGCCACAUUGGGACUGAGACACGGCCCAGACUCCUACGGGAGGCAGCAGUGGGGAAUAUUGCACAAUGGGGGAAACCCUGAUGCAGCAACGCCGCGUGAGUGAUGACGGCCUUCGGGUUGUAAAGCUCCGUCUUCAGGGACGAUAAUGACGGUACCUGAGGAGGAAGCCACGGCUAACUCUGUGCCAGCCGCCGCAGUAA
rnacentral:rRNA from 1 species